UUGAACGCUGGCGGUAUGCUUAACACAUGCAAGUCGAACGGAAACGAUACUAGCUUGCUAGUAGGCGUCGAGUGGCGGACGGGUGAGUAACGCGUAGGAAUCUGCCUGAUAGUGGGGGAUAGCCCGAAGAAAUUCGGAUUAAUACCGCAUAAUCUAUUCGUAGUAAAGUGGGGGACUUUCGAGCCUCACGCUAUCAGAUGAGCCUGCGUAAGAUUAGCUAGUUGGUAGGGUAAAAGCCUACCAAGGCUACGAUCUUUAGCUGGUCUGAGAGGAUGAUCAGCCACAUCGGGACUGAGACACGGCCCGAACUCCUACGGGAGGCAGCAGUGGGGAAUAUUGGACAAUGGGGGCAACCCUGAUCCAGCAAUACCGCGUGUGUGAAGAAGGCCUGAGGGUUGUAAAGCACUUUCAAUUGUGAAGAAAAGUUAACGGUUAAUAACCGUUAGCCUUGACGUUAACUUUAGAAGAAGCACCGGCUAACUCCGUGCCAGCAGCCGCGGUAAUACGGAGGGUGCAAGCGUUAAUCGGAAUUACUGGGCGUAAAGCGUGCGUAGGCGGUUUAUUAAGUCAGAUGUGAAAGCCCCGGGCUUAACCUGGGAACUGCAUUUGAAACUGGUCAACUAGAGUAUGGUAGAGGAAAGUGGAAUUUCUGGUGUAGCGGUGAAAUGCGUAGAUAUCAGAAGGAACAUCAAUGGCGAAGGCAGCUUUCUGGACCAAUACUGACGCUGAGGUACGAAAGCGUGGGUAGCAAACAGGAUUAGAUACCCUGGUAGUCCACGCCGUAAACGAUGAUAACUAGCCGUUGGGGGGAUUUACCCUUUAGUGGCGAAGCUAACGCGUUAAGUUAUCCGCCUGGGGAGUACGGCCGCAAGGUUAAAACUCAAAGGAAUUGACGGGGACCCGCACAAGCGGUGGAGCAUGUGGUUUAAUUCGAUGCAACGCGAAGAACCUUACCUGGUCUUGACAUCCUGCGAACUUUCUAGAAAUAGAUUGGUGCCUUCGGGAACGCAGUGACAGGUGCUGCAUGGCUGUCGUCAGCUCGUGUCGUGAGAUGUUGGGUUAAGUCCCGUAACGAGCGCAACCCCUAUCCUUAUUUGCCAGCACGUCAUGGUGGGAACUAUAAGGAGACUGCCGGUGAUAAACCGGAGGAAGGCGGGGACGACGUCAAGUCAUCAUGGCCCUUACGACCAGGGCUACACACGUGCUACAAUGGGAAGGACAAAGAGCCGCGAAGCCGCGAGGUGUAGCUAAUCUCAGAAACCUUUUCGUAGUCCGGAUUGGAGUCUGCAACUCGACUCCAUGAAGUCGGAAUCGCUAGUAAUCGUAGAUCAGAAUGCUACGGUGAAUACGUUCCCGGGUCUUGCACUCACCGCCCGUCAAGGGCG
rnacentral:rRNA from 1 species